AUCACUAAGAGGAUGUGCAUUUCACCUUCUCCUCCUGUGUCUUGCUAGAAUGUGGAUAUGAUGGCUGAUGUGUAAGCAGCAAUUUUAAGUAACAGGAUAAAAAGCUAGAGGAAUUAGAAGCAUGAGAAGGAUUUCACCUGCUGUUGCUGGCUUGAAGAUGGAGAAGACCACAGGAUAAGAGAUGUCAGUGGCCUCUAGAAGCUAACAGUGUCCCCUAACUCGCAGCCAGCAAGAAGUUAGCAACCUUAAUCCUACAACAAUGAGGAACCUAAUCCUUAAUGGAAACUAAUUAUUCUCCAGAGUCUUCAGUGUUCCCAGGAAACAUAACAUUCCAGAAGGCACAUCUGCCGUUACUAUAACAACAGAAAGGCAGCGUCUACGGAGAAUUAUCUGCACUAGAGGGCAGACUGCAAACCAGCAGGAUUCCUGGGUUCCUCUUCCAGGAGGCAAGGGUAAAUUUUGGUGAAAAGAAGCAAAGCCUGAACAGGGUUUUGGUGUAUGGAUGGGGCAUAGAGUGCUCAGAAUUUGAGGAAGGUGAAGGGCAGCCCAAGGUUUAUAAACUGUUUCUAGACCAAAGGUGCAAAACUGCUGUCAAGGAAAUCAGCUAGCAAGGAUUUAGGAAAACAUCUUAUUGUUGGGGUACAGGCACAGAGUUAAGAACUGGUUGGGGUAAUACUAGACAGAUGAAAGAAUCACUUUCCAGCUGUUUGACCCAAAGACAAAUCACAUCGCCUCCCAAGGGAGGUGAAGUCACUUACCCAGAGGAACAACAUCCACUACGAUCGCCCUAAGAGAUACUGAGAAUAGUCUUGAGCAUGGCUAUCAAGGCAAGUCCUGAGAUGCUUGCUAAAGAGUUGAACAUAGACAUGAAUCUCAGUCAGUCUGUCUGAGACUUUGCCUCUUUCCUUGCCUUGGCUUUUACUUUACUAGCUUCUUCUCAGGUUCUGGAUCUCUUUAGGCUUCUUUUCCAACCUCGCUACUAGACUGAUCUAUAUUUGGGAGUCCACCUCAGCCUGUCUGCCAUUCCAAAAAAAAAAAAAAAAACCCUAUUCAUGUCACUAAUCCCACUCUGCAUUCCUAGUCUCUCAGUUUCAAUUUCUCCUUACCUAACCUCUGGCUUUGCUUCAACAUAGAGUUUUCAGACCAUCCUGGAUUAAACUUUGCCCCUUUUAUGGUCAAAAUGGCUUAAUUAGCCAAUUAAGUUACCAUUCAGAGGAAGAGAUUAAUACUAGCAUAAAAUAAAUAAGCAGACAUAAAUUAAUUUCUAUAAAUGGUUUGAAGGAAAUAAACUAAAGUGUAGGAAAAACAGAGUGAGCCUUCCUUUUGUAGGUGGUCAAGAAAGACAUCUCUAAGGGAGGUGAUAUUUAAGUUGAGACCCAAGAAGAGAAGGAGUAGUUGGCUGUAUGAAUAGCAUGUGCAAAGCCCUGCAGCAUGAAAGAGGUUGUGGUUGUAGAACAAAAAGACUGCUGGGAUGAGGCAUCUCAGUAGCAAGCCGAGGAUAAGAGGGUCUUGAGAUGAGAGUGGGUACAGACCAGAUCAUGGAGACAUUUACAAGUCACGGUUAAACAGUUUGGAUUUCAUUCCAAGUUUCUUAAAUGGCAUAUUGUCACAAGACCAAAAGAGACCUUUGGGACUCAUUCCAUCUGUCAGGUAGGAGGUAAUUCUUUUUCUUUUUAUCCAUGCACCAACUUCUGUAAGUAAACUUGACUAAUGUUUGUUUAUAAUCAGUGAGUAAGCUGCUACUUUAAUACCGCUACCCUGGAAGAGGCCCUUCAAGGCAUGUUAAAUUAACUGAUGUGAAUAAAAACAAUGAAUAAAAAUACCUCUCUCCUUUAAUGAGAACAGCGACUUCUGUUUCCCUGAGCUUUUUCAGUCCCAUAAGACCUUUUAAAACAGAGUGAGCAUGUUCAGGUUCAAAUGCUAAAAACAUAAUCUUGUCUCUCUCUUGUUGGAUUAUGUUUCGAGAAGCCAUUUUAGAUCAAUCUUUUUGAGCACACAAGCUUCAGAAGCUGUGACUAAAACAUACCCAGCACUGCUGCUAGGUUGGUCAUUUUUCCCUAAGGCUGUUCUCACACAGAACCAAAGGGAUGUGCCCCUUCAUCUGAUACAUGGACCCUCCAGCUCAGGGACUGAUGAAAAAGAAGCCCCAAAGUUUGUGUUCUAUAAGGGCCUGCUUAUCCACUCAAAUCUCGUGUAAAAGGUUGGGUAAGAGUCUAUGUGCUUCUCUAAUUUGCCAUUCCUACGGGAGUUACAAAAAGUUUACAGAGGCACUUUUGGGAUCUAUUCAUAUGUUCUGCAUAUACUAUCUCGUAGGGAUUAGAUUCCAUGUUUAUCACACACUCUACAAAGAGACAAUGUUGUGUAAUGAAAAUUAGAUUUUAUUCCAAUUGUGUAAUUCAUUUGUUUUAUGGCCAAGUAAAAGUUAUUUUCUUUCCAAGCAUUUUUGUUUGUUUGUUUGUUUGUUUGUUUGUUUGCAAGAUGACCUCUAGGGCUCCUUCCAGUUCUAUGACUUUGUGAAUCUCUAUCAACAUGGACUCAAGAACAAUGCUGGUAUUAGCUAUGGUAAGCUAAACUGCUGUUACAAGUAGACUUCAAAGUGCAAAGGCCCAAACAAAAUAGAAAUCUUUUUUUUUCACCCAAUGGCUCAGGACAGGUGUUCUAGAUCAGCUGACAGCUCUGCUCCACAAUUCAAUUCAGAGAACUGGUCUAAAGAUACUUGGCCUUCAAAGUCACUCUAAUAAUAGCCCUUCCAGUCAGUCCAUCAGAAAGAAGACAAGCUGAAGUCCUGGGUAAGAGAUAUCUCACAAGGUAAAUGAAAUUAAAUUAUUCCUCUGGCAAGAGCCUAAACACAAGGUCACAUCUAGCUGCAAGAGAGGCCACAAAAUAUAGUCCCAGUCUGGAUCCAGACAGAACUCCAUUACUAGGGAAGAAGAUGAGAGAGAAUUGGGGUGGACAUAGAGCAGCCUCUGCUACGUGCCUAAUUCCUAUAUUAGGUUUCAGACUAUUAAACUUUUCAAUUACUGAAUUAUCAUCACAGUUCUAAGAGACAAUUACUACAAUGUUCAUUCUACAGAUGUGAAAACUAUGUCCCAAAGAGCUGAAGUAAAACACAUGAAGUCUCACAGUUAAAAGCUGAGCUAAGCUUCAAUUUCAGGUCUGCUGGUCAGUGCUUUCUCUACCAUAAGUACUAAAUUGAAAUAUUUGCAUAGCAAAUAAUCAUUAGCAUAAAUCUGCAUGAAUAAAAAGAACAACAAGGCAUUAUUGUGAAAGGUAAGAGGAACAGCUAAAGCAUGCAGCAGAUCUAGGACUGACUCCAAGUGUUAAGAGGUCUCCAAACUGAAAGAUGG
rnacentral:lncRNA from 10 species